GCCGGCUUAGCUCAGUAGGUAGAGCAACUGACUUGUAAUCAGUAGGUCGUACCCAGUUCGACUCCGGCAGCCGGCACCA
rnacentral:tRNA from 1 species